rnacentral:rRNA from 1 species
AUUGAACGCUGGCGGCAGGCUUAACACAUGCAAGUCGAACGGUAACAUAAAGGAGCUUGCUUCUUUGAUGACGAGUGGCGGACGGGUGAGUAAUGCUUGGGAAUCUAGCUUAUGGAGGGGGAUAACUACGGGAAACUGUAGCUAAUACCGCGUAGAAUCGGGAGAUGAAAGUGUGGGACCUUCGGGCCACAUGCCAUAGGAUGAGCCCAAGUGGGAUUAGGUAGUUGGUGAGGUAAAGGCUCACCAAGCCGACGAUCUCUAGCUGGUCUGAGAGGAUGACCAGCCACACUGGGACUGAGACACGGCCCAGACUCCUACGGGAGGCAGCAGUGGGGAAUAUUGCGCAAUGGGGGCAACCCUGGCGCAGCCAUGCCGCGUGAAUGAAGAAGGCCUUCGGGUUGUAAGGUUCUUUCGGUAGCGAGGAAGGCAUUUAGUUUAAUAGACUAGGUGAUUGACGUUAACUACAGAAGAAGCACCGGCUAACUCCGUG